UACAGAGGGUGCGAGCGUUGUUCGGAAUUACUGGGCGUAAAGCGUCUGUAGGUGGUUACGCUAGUCGGCUGUUAAAGAUCAGGGCUGAACCCUGAGCAAGCAGUCGAAACUGCGUGGCUGGAGUACGGUAGAGGCAGAGGGAAUUCCCGGUGUAGCGGUGAAAUGCGUAGAUAUCUGGAGGAACACCGGUGGCGAAGGCGGCAUCCUGGACCGGCAUUGACGCCGAGGAGCGAAAGCCAGGGGAGCAAACGGG
rnacentral:rRNA from 1 species